AGUGAGCGAAUCCCAAAAAGUGCGUCGUAGUCCGGAUCGGAGUCUGCAACUCGACUCCGUGAAGUCGGAAUCGCUAGUAAUCGUGGAUCAGAAUGCCACGGUGAAUACGUUCCCGGGCCUUGUACACACCGCCCGUCACACCAUGGGAGUGGGCUGCAAAAGAAGUAGGUAGUUUAACCUUCGGGAGGACGCUUACCACUUUGUGGUUCAUGACUGGGGUGAAGUCGUAACAAGGUAGCGCUAGGGGAACCUGGCGCUGGAUCACCUCCUUA
rnacentral:rRNA from 1 species